GGGGAGGAGCACGGUGGGGUCGACCUUAGCAAUUUCCCCGACAAAGCCGAGGGCAGCGGAGUCAGGGGAAGGACGGGCGGUGAUCAGGUGAGCGUCUUUGCCGCAGAGGCCGACGGCUGUGGCGCCGGCGACGUUGAUGAGUGAGACGAGUGACUUGUUGACCUUGCCGGCGAGAACCAUCUCGACGACCUCCAUGGUGAGGGCGUCGGUGACGCGGAGGCCGUUGUGGAAGCGGGGCUCGACGCCGAGGCGGAGGAGCCAGGAGUUGAUCUCGGGGCCACCGCCGUGCACGAGGACAGGGCGGAGACCGACGCAGGAGAGGAGGACGAGGUCGUUGAUGACGGAGGAUUGGAGAUCGGGGGAUUUCAUGGCUGCGCCGCCGUACUUGACGACGAUCGUCUUGCCGUGGAAGCGCUGGAUGAAGGGGAGGGACUCCGAGAGGAUCUCGACGCGGUUUUU
rnacentral:misc_RNA from 1 species